rnacentral:lncRNA from 1 species
CGCAAAAUUGCGGCGGGGUUAAACAUGUUUAUGAGAUCUCAACCCUCCCCCUAUACCUCUAGCUAAUGUAGAAAAGUAAACGCAUAACAAUACGCACAUUAAAAUUCAGUUCAGAGAAGUCCGAGUCCGAUGUCAAAGAUGUAACAAAAGAAAAUAAAUAAAAUGACAAUAAUACAUAAAUAACAACAGACUACUAGCAGUUAACUGACAUGCCAGCUCAAGAC